AGUAAAGUGGCGUACGGGUGAGUAACACGUGGAUUAUCUACCCUCUAGUGGGGGAUAACCCUGGGAAACCGGGGCUAAUACCGCAUAAGCUCGAGAGAGGAAAGCAGCAAUGCGCUGGAGGAGGAGUCCGCGGCCGAUUAUUGCUAGUUGGUAGGGUAAAAGCCUACCAAGGCUACGAUCGGUAGCCGGCCUGAGAGGGCACACGGCCACACUGGCACUGAAACACGGGCCAG
rnacentral:rRNA from 1 species